UACGGGGGGGGGCAAGCGUUGUUCGGAAUCACUGGGUUUAAAAGGGGUGCGUAGGAGGGCAGGUAAGUCAGUGGUGAAAUCUUCGAGCUUAACUCGGAAACUGCCGUUGAUACUAUCUGUCUUGAAUACCGUGGAGGUGAGCGGAAUAUGUCAUGUAGCGGUGAAAUGCUUAGAUAUGACAUAGAACACCAAUUGCGAAGGCAGCUCGCUACACGAAUAUUGACUCUGAGGCACGAAAAGCGUGGGGAUCAAACAGG
rnacentral:rRNA from 1 species